rnacentral:rRNA from 1 species
UACGAAGGGUGGCAAGCGUUGUUCGGAUUUACUGGGCGUAAAGGCGUGACGCAGGCGGUCUUUUAAGUCAGAUGUGAAAUCCCCGGGCUUAACCUGGGAACUGCGCUUGUUACUGGCAGACUGGAGUGUGGCAGAGGGGGGUGGAAUUCCAGGUGUAGCAGUGAAAUGGCGUAGAUAUGCGGAGGAACACCGAUGGCGAAGGCAAUCCC